GACAGAGGAGCCAAGCGUUGUCCGGAUUGACUGGGCGUAAAGCGCACGCAGGCGGAACGGCGCGUGGGGUGUGAAAGCUGGCGGCUUAACUGCCAGUCGCCAUCCCAUACGGCCAUUCUGGAGCCUUGCAGAGGGCAGUGGAAUUGCCGGUGUAGUGGUGAAAUGCGUAGAUAUCGGGAGGAACACCUGUGGCGAAGGCGGCCCCCUGGUUGGAUACUGACGCUGAUACGCGAAAGCGUGGGGAGCAAACAGG
rnacentral:rRNA from 1 species